AGCGGCGGACGGGUGAGUAACGCGUGGGUAACCUGCCUCAUACAGGGGGAUAACAGUCAGAAAUGACUGCUAAUACCGCAUAAGACCACGGUACCGCAUGGUACAGUGGUAAAAACUCCGGUGGUAUGAGAUGGACCCGCGUCUGAUUAGGUAGUUGGUGGGGUAACGGCCUACCAAGCCGACGAUCAGUAGCCGACCUGAGAGGGUGACCGGCCACAUUGGGACUGAGGCACGGCCCAG
rnacentral:rRNA from 1 species